AUGGACGAGAGGCUCGCCCAGCCGCCGCCGCCGCCGCAAUUCCAGCUCGGGAACCCCAUGUCCGGCCCGGCGUCGCCCUACUCCGCGCUCCACCCUCUCCUCCUCCCGUCCACGAACCCGCACCUCCUCCUCAAGCCCAAGACGCUGACCCUCUCGCUCUCCUCCUCCUCCCUCGCCUCGAUGCCCUCCUCCUCCUCCCCGCCCGCCCCCGCCUCCGACGCAUGGGAACUCGUCCACCCAACCGUCCCCGUUGCCGCCGCUUCCCCCAUAGACGGCGGCCUCGACGACUGCGCCAUCUUCCCACCGCGCCUUCACGAGGGCCUGGGGCUCGAGGCGGAGGCCGAGGAGGCCGCGACCAAGGAAGAGAAGGAGGAGGAGACUGAUGACGAGGUGGAGUGGCUGUGGGGGUGGGGGAGAUGCCGCGCGGCGGCGACGCGCGCGUGGGCGGCCGGGUCAGGGGCCGUGCUCGUGCAUGGAGAGUGCGGAUGUCCCGGGGUGAGGCCGGCCGUCUGGUCGGCCGCGGCGGCGGCCGUUGUGGUUGGCGCGCUGUUGUACGUGCGCCGGCGAGACAGGAGGGAGAGGGACCUCCUCGUCAUGCUCUCGCAGGAGAAGGAUAAGAGGAUAGCACAACUUCUGCAUCAAAUUGCUUUACUGAGUGACAUCAGAGGCGGCAGCGAAGCAAUUAAAAUUAUGAGGAACUCUUAA
rnacentral:rRNA from 1 species